rnacentral:rRNA from 1 species
CCAGACUCCUACGGGAGGCAGCAGUGGGGAAUAUUGGGCAAUGGGCGCAAGCCUGACCCAGCAACGCCGCGUGAAGGAAGAAGGCUUUCGGGUUGUAAACUUCUUUUCUCAGGGACGAAUAGAUGACGGUACCUGAGGAAUAAGCCACGGCUAACUACGUGCCAGCAGCCGCGGUAAUGCGGAGGAUGCGAGCGUUAUCCGGAUUUAUUGGGUUUAAAGGGUGCGUAGGCGGAAUGCCAAGUCAGCGGUAAAUGCGCGGGGCUCAACCUCGCUCCGCCGUUGAAACUGGCGUUCUUGAGUGGGCGAGAAGUAUGCGGAAUGCGUGGUGUAGCGGUGAAAUGCAUAGAUAUCACGCAGAACCCCGAUUGCGAAGGCAGCAUACCGGCGCCCAACUGACGCUGAAGCACGAAAGCGUGGGUAUCGAACAGGAUUAGAUACCCGAGUAUA